rnacentral:rRNA from 1 species
AUUGAACGCUGGCGGCAGGCUUAACACAUGCAAGUCGAGCGAGCGGCGGACGGGUGAGUAAUGUCUGGGGAUCUGCCUGAUGGAGGGGGAUAACUACUGGAAACGGUAGCUAAUACCGCAUACCAUCAGAUGACCCCAUAUGGGAUUAGCUUGUAGGUGAGGUAACGGCUCACCUAGGCGACGAUCCCUAGCUGGUCUGCGCGGAUGACCAGCCACACUGGAACUGAGACACGGCCCAGACUCCUACGGGAGGCAGAAGGGGGGAAUAUUGCACAAUGGGCGCAAGCCUGAUGCAGCCAUGCCGCGUGUAUGAAGAAGGCCUUCGGGGUGUAAAGUACUUUCAGUGGGGAGGCGUUACCGACAGAAGAAGCACCGGCUAACUCCGUGCCAGCAGCCGCGGUAAUUC